rnacentral:rRNA from 1 species
GACGGAGGAGGCUAGCGUUGUUCGGAAUUACUGGGCGUAAAGCGCGCGCAGGCGGUCCUGCAAGUCAGGGGUGAAAGCCCGGGGCUCAACCUCGGAACUGCCCUUGAGACUGCGGGACUCGAGACCGGGAGAGGAGAGUGGAAUUCCCAGUGUAGAGGUGAAAUUCGUAGAUAUUGGGAAGAACACCAGUGGCGAAGGCGGCUCUCUGGCCCGGUACUGACGCUGAGGCGCGAAAGCGUGGGGAGCAAACAGGAUUAGAUACCCUGGUAGUCCACGCUGUAAACGAUGGAUGCUAGAUGUUGGGGGGCUUGCCCUUCGGUGUCGUAGCUAACGCGAUAAGCAUCCCGCCUGGGGAGUACGGCCGCAAGGUUA